UCAGAAGUGCGAAUGCUGACAUAAGUAACGAUAAAGCGGGUGAAAAGCCCGCUCGCCGGAAGACCAAGGGUUCCUGUCCAACGUUAAUCGGGGCAGGGUGAGUCGACCCCUAAGGCGAGGCCGAAAGGCGUAGUCGAUGGGAAACAGGUUAAUAUUCCUGUACUUGGUGUUACUGCGAAGGGGGGACGGAGAAGGCUAUGUUGGCCGGGCGACGGUUGUCCCGGUUUAAGCGUGUAGGCUGGUUUUCCAGGCAAAUCCGGAAAAUCAAGGCUGAGGCGUGAUGACGAGGCACUACGGUGCUGAAGCAACAAAUGCCCUGCUUCCAGGAAAAGCCUCUAAGCAUCAGGUAACAUCAAAUCGUACCCCAAACCGACACAGGUGGUCAGGUAGAGAAUACCAAGGCGCUUGAGAGAACUCGGGUGAAGGAACUAGGCAAAAUGGUGCCGUAACUUCGGGAGAAGGCACGC
rnacentral:rRNA from 2 species